rnacentral:rRNA from 1 species
GUUGACCUCGGAUCAGGUAGGGAUACCCGCUGAACUUAAGCAUAUCAAUAAGCGGAGGAAAAGAAACCAACAGGGAUUGCCCUAGUAACGGCGAGUGAAGCGGCAACAGCUCAAAUUUGAAAUCUGGCGCAAGCCCGAGUUGUAAUUUGUAGAGGAUGCUUCUAGGUAGCGACCGGUCUAAGUUCCUUGGAACAGGACGUCAUAGAGGGUGAGAAUCCCGUAUGUGACCGGCCCGCACCUUCCACGUAGCUCCUUCGACGAGUCGAGUUGUUUGGGAAUGCAGCUCUAAAUGGGAGGUAAAUUUCUUCUAAAGCUAAAUACCGGCCAGAGACCGAUAGCGCACAAGUAGAGUGAUCGAAAGAUGAAAAGCACUUUGGAAAGAGAGUUAAAAAGCACGUGAAAUUGUUGAAAGGGAAGCGCUCACAACCAGACUUCUGGGCGGUGUUCCGCCGGUCUUCUGACCGGUCUACUCGCCGUCCCGAGGCCAACAUCAUCUGGGACCGCCGGAUAAGACCUCAGGAAUGUAGCUUCCCUCGGGAAGUGUUAUAGCCUGUGGUGAUGCGGCGCGUCUCGGGUGAGGUCCGCGCUCCGGCAAGGAUGUUGGCGUAAUGGUUGUCAGCGGCCCGUCUUGAAACACGGACCAAGGAGUCUAACAUCUAUGCGAGUGUUCGGGUGUCAAACCCCUACGCGUAAUGAAAGUGAACGGAGGUGGGAAGCGCGAGCUGCACCAUCGACCGAUCCUGAUGUCCUCGGAUGGAUUUGAGUAAGAGCAUAGCUGUUGGGACCCGAAAGAUGGUGAACUAUGCCUGAAUAGGGUGAAGCCAGAGGAAACUCUGGUGGAGGCUCGCAGCGGUUCUGACGUGCAAAUCGAUCGUCAAAUUUGGGUAUAGGGGCGAAAGACUAAUCGAACCAUCUAGUAGCUGGUUCCUGCCGAAGU